rnacentral:rRNA from 1 species
UACGUAGGGUGCGAGCGUUGUCCGGAAUUAUUGGGCGUAAGGGGCUCGUAGGCGGUUUGUCGCGUCGGGAGUGAAAUCCACUGGCUUAACUGGUGGCUUGCUUUCGAUACGGGCAGACUGGAGGUAUGCAGGGGAGAACGGAAUUCCUGGUGUAGCGGUGAAAUGCGCAGAUAUCAGGAGGAACACCGGUGGCGAAGGCGGUUCUCUGGGCAUGUCCUGACGCUGAGGAGCGAAAGUGUGGGGAGCGAACAGG